rnacentral:rRNA from 1 species
UACAGAGGUCUCGAGCGUUGUUCGGAUUCAUUGGGCGUAAAGGGCGCGUAGGUGGCUAGGUAAGUCGGGUGUGAAAUCCCGGGGCUCAACCCCGGAACUGCAUUCGAUACUGCCUGGCUAGAGUACUGGAGAGGAGAUUGGAAUUUACGGUGUAGCAGUGAAAUGCGUAGAUAUCGGAAGGAAGACCAGUGGCGAAGGCGGAUCUCUGGACAGUUACUGACACUGAGGCACGAAGGCCAGGGGAGCAAACGGG